GCAUCGGUGGUUUAGUGGUAAAAUUAGCCGUUGCCAAGCAAUUCAUUCAAAUUUGCUCAGUUUCGGCUAGCCCCGGGUUCGAUUCCCGGCCGAUGCA